rnacentral:tRNA from 1 species
GAGGGUGUAACUCAGCAGUACAGUACCUGCUUAGCAUGCAUGAGGUCCUGGAUUCAAUCCCCAGUACCUCCA